GACAGAGGGUGCAAACGUUGUUCGGAAUUACUGGGCGUAAAGCGCGUGUAGGCGGCCCGGAAAGUCGGAUGUGAAAGCCCUGGGCUUAACCCAGGAAGUGCAUUCGAAACUCCCGGGCUUGAGUUCUGGAGAGGAAGGCGGAAUUCUCGGUGUAGAGGUGAAAUUCGUAGAUAUCGAGAGGAACACCGGUGGCGAAGGCGGCCUUCUGGACAGUGACUGACGCUGAGACGCGAAAGCGUGGGGAGCAAACGGG
rnacentral:rRNA from 1 species